GCAUGGUGUGUGUGGUGGCGGCAGUGGCAGUGGUGUGGUAGCUUAAAACUACCAGUAAGUCCAGCUUCAGGGCCUCUGACGCCCUCUUCUGGCCUUCAAGGGAUCUGUAUACACAUGAGCAUACUGAGCACACAUGUACCCCCCCACACACAAAUAAAUAUAAGCCUUAAAAAAAAAAGUGGGUUUAAAACAAUUUUAAAAAAUGGAACUGAAAAGCUAAUCUAAUUUGCACUCAGCUGUGACUGCCUGUCUGGCCCACCACAGAACAACAAGUACACCUUUAUAUAAAAUGGGCCAAAUCAUGAACUAAUUCCCCUCCCCAAAUACCCCAGUUAAGUCCUAGAUACCACACAAGUGUGUGGCUAUUGCCAGCAUGCCCCCGCCAUCCAAUAUGGCAAAUUAGGAUAGAUCAAGCAGAUCAAGGCCACUUCUUCAUGUGAAACUCCAUGUGACAAUCCCGUGGGGCCGCUGGGCACAGGCUACAGAGAUGCCUCACCACAGUGGACACAUACUGCAAAUGUAAGGCCACCACUCUGUGUCAUGCAGACACAGAUACCAUUGUGGCUUCAAAAACACCUUUAGCCAUAUGCCCAGACAGGAAAAAGAGUCCAGUCUGAGCAUGACGCCACGGUCACGGUCCAGGCAAUAGCACUGGCGGCAGGAUCGUCACUUGAAAUGGAUCCUCUGCUGUUUGUCCCAGGGCCUUCCUGUCAUGAGAGCUCACAGGAUGGGAGAAAGCUGGACAGGAUAAUGGGACAUCAAGACUUCUCUGUCACACUGAGGAUCCUUAACAUCUCAGUGACAUGGGUGACAUAAGGGUUGAGCAAGACUCAAGUCAUCUGGGAGAAAUGGCAUUCAGAAUGAACUGAGGGAAACCCAUCAACGUUCAAGACAAACACAGAAGCCAGAUACGGUGUCAUGUGGGGUCCUGUCUACAGAGGAAGCUCAAGUAGGGGGCUGAGCAUGUUCAAAGUCUGCGGCCAGCUCGGACUACAGAGUGAGGUCCCGUGUCAAAACACAGAAUCCAGUUCAGAUUUUUCAGGGAAUUCUCUCCUGACCCAACCCCACCAUCUGAACACAUUCCUCCCUGAGCAUGCUUUUCCUUUGCAGCCUUGGGGAGUUGAACAUGCACUGGGUUUCAGGAAGUAUUUUUUGAUGCUGCCUGUUCACUUGACUUUACGUGUCACAGGCCAGGGACCAUGCGUGCCUGCGUCCUCGGCUGUGUCCCCAGCCCUACACAAUGCUAAGAACACGGGCAGUGCUCAGUGAUUAUCUGAGGAAUUAAUGAUUCAUCAGAGCCCAGGGUGCUUAGCUUCCUGUGCUGGUGACUCCUGUGUCACACACAGCUCCCCUUACUCUAAGAACAAGUGUCCUAGGAUAAAACAAGAAAUCCGAAACAAUGCAAUUUCAUGAGACCUCCUUUUCUAAACUUGGCUCAUGAAUGGACAAACUGACACUUGACAUGAAAUAAUUUAUAAAUCAAUUUAUUUACAGAUUUCAUCUUAAAGUACAUUUUAGUUAACAAAUCUAUUUACACAGGUAUACAUGGGAAUCCGUCCGUCCCAGUUAUCUUACAGAGUACUUACAAGCCACACCCUUAGUCUUCUGUGCAGAGCCGCACGGGCGUGUCUGUCGGCUGACGAUGGCCUGACGACCAGGCUAUUUACACACACACAGUAAACGGGUUUCUUUUUCAUGUCUGCACAGUACAGUACACACGAGGGGCUGAGCCCCCUAGAGAAUGCUUUGCAAUGUGUAACCAAGAAGGCUUUGCAAAGUCCAGAAGGAAAAGCUUUUAAACAUAGGUUCAUUAAAAUGACAGUACCUCCUUUACACCAGUUUACAUUUUUCUUCACAUUUUUAUAAUACAAAGAUUUUAUUGAAUUGCUGCACAACCAGUUUAAGAUGAUUUGUAAACAUGUAAAUUCCUACAAUUUGCAUUAAACAUCAUUGUAGUUUCUA